rnacentral:tRNA from 1 species
CCAAUAAUUAUUUUUAUAAAUCAAAAAAAUUUAUUAAUAUGUUUACUGAACAUAAGUAGUGGU